rnacentral:rRNA from 1 species
UACGGUGGGGGCAAGCGUUGUUCGGAAUUACUGGGCGUAAAGGGCUCGUAGGCGGCCAACUAAGUCAGACGUGAAAUCCCUCGGCUUAACCGGGGAACUGCGUCUGAUACUGGAUGGCUUGAGUUCGGGAGAGGGAUGCGGAAUUCCAGGUGUAGCGGUGAAAUGCGUAGAUAUCUGGAGGAACACCGGUGGCGAAGGCGGCAUCCUGGACCGACACUGACGCUGAGGAGCGAAAGCCAGGGGAGCAAACGGG